CAUUCCGUGUUCUCAUUUGGAGCAUGAUAUGGGGGGAGGAGUGAGGAGAGAGAAAGAACGAAGCUUCUAUAGAGUUGGACGGGGGGAAUUCGAAAACCUCUAGUUAUGACUUUGGAUGGCUGUAGAGGAGGGAGAGAGGUGUGAGGGAAGUCCAGGUAAGGUUUUAUCUGGGGAGUCUUCUGUGUUCAUUUUGAGGAUCUGGGUCUGCUGCAUUUGCUCAAGACUGGCUUAGAAUAUUAGUGUUUUUUGUUUAUGAUUUUUGGGUGUUUGAUGAACUCAGGCUAUGGGUUUUAAGUUUGUUGAUGUGCUUUUCUUUGAAUUUGGAAUAUGGGUUUUGCUCAAGAUGUGAUCGGUGAUCUAGUUUUUACACUGAGAAGGGUUUUGUGAUCGGGGGUUGGAGCAUUUGGAGGACUUGAGGAGUUUGGCUGGUGAAACUCAGUGAUUGGGAUUUUGUUUUUGGAGGUUUGGAAAUUUGGGUUUGCCUUAGAAUUGAAAUUGAUCGCUGGGUUUUGAUCUGAUUUAGUUUUGCAGAGCAAAAAUGGAAACUUUUUUUUUUUUUUUUGAAGAUUUCAUUAUUGCUUUGCUGAAUUAGGUGUUAGCAGUUUCUUCAAGUUGGGAGUGAUCUUUGUAUACAUUUUGAAUAUUAAUUAAAUGGCCACGGCGUCGCCGCCUCCUAAUUCUUCUCCUUCCGCGGUUCCUCCGACCUCUGCCGCCACUCCACCACCGCCCUUGUCUUCUCCUCCUCCUCCUCCGGAGUCUUCUACUCCUCCAUCUUCCCAGCCCAAUGCAGAUCCACCGGAUGGUGCAGCAGGUUCUACUUCAUCCCCACCACCUCAAUCACCUCCUGCUGUUCCAGCAGCGCCACCUCCAGCAUCACCACCACCACCACCACCACCAACUCCUUCCCUAGCCAAUUCUCCUUCGUCGCCUCCACCUCCUUCUCCUCCACCCAAUGCUCCGCCCCCUUCUCCCAAUGCUCCUCCACCGACUCCUCCACCAUCUCCACCCAUUGCUCCAGUUCCGCCUCCCUCCAAUCCCCCACCUCCGCCAUCAACACCACCACCAACUUCACCUCCACCGCCACCACCACCGACCAAUCCGCCCAGGAGUCCGCCUCCCCCACCACCUACAGAACCACCAGUGACUUCACCUCCUCCACCAUCUUCAAACCCCCCUAAAAGUUCACCACCACCAUCAGAACCACCAAAAACCUCACCCCCACCACCAUCUAAACCACCCCCUGUUUCACCACCAUCACCAUCACCAUCAAGUCCACCUGAGGAUUCACCUCCACCACCUGUACCUGUGCCACCCAGUAAUUCAACCCCUCCCGCCCCGUCUCCAUCUGGUUCUCAACCAGCAACUCCACCCUCUCCAAAUUCUCCUCCAAAAGGAUCGCCACCACCACCCAGGACACCAACUCCACCUCCUCCUGCACGUUCCCCACCACCUCUUUCUCCCCCUUCAUCUCCUCAAACUCCAAACUCGCCAUCAGAUAGCCCAUCUGUGAACAAUUCUACCCCCAGUGGAAGUCCAAAUUCUACAAGUAAAGGAGGCAUUGGUACUGUAGGUACAGUGGCUAUUGGAUUGGUACUGGGUUUAGUAGUACUUGUUCUCAUUGGAGUGGCUUUCUUGUGCCUGCGGAAGCGGAAGAAAAAGGUAUCUGGACUUAAUGGUGGCUAUGUUAUGCCAGCCACACUGGGUUCUUCUCCGAGAUCAGAGGGUUUAUUGUCUCCAGAUUCAUCUUUUACAAAGACACUGUCUUCAGCUCCCCUCAUAGGAAGUGGUUCGGGCAGCGACUUUGUAUAUUCACCAUCUGAGCCAGGAGGAUUAGGCAAUUCAAGAUCAUGGUUUACAUAUGAAGAACUAGUCAAGGCAACAAAUGGAUUUUCAACUCAAAAUCUUCUGGGUGAAGGUGGAUUUGGUUCUGUAUAUAAAGGAUACCUGCCAGACGGGAGAGAGAUAGCAGUAAAGCAGCUAAAGAUUGGUGGGGGCCAGGGAGAGCGAGAAUUUAAAGCUGAAGUUGAGAUUAUUAGUCGGAUACACCAUCGCCAUUUGGUCUCGCUUGUGGGUUACUGCAUUUCUGAGAGCCAAAGGCUGCUCGUCUAUGACUAUGUUCCUAACAAUACCCUUUAUUUCCAUCUCCAUGGGGAAGGUAGGCCAGUUAUGGACUGGGCAACACGUGUUAAGGUUGCUGCUGGUGCAGCUCGUGGAAUAGCUUAUCUUCAUGAAGACUGCCAUCCUCGGGUUAUUCACAGGGAUAUUAAGUCUUCAAAUAUUCUUUUAAAUUAUAACUUUGAAGCUCAGGUUUCAGAUUUUGGACUUGCUAAAUUAGCUCUAGAUGCUGAUACUCAUGUAACAACACGUGUAAUGGGGACUUUUGGGUAUAUGGCUCCCGAGUAUGCAUCAAGUGGCAAGUUAACUGAGAAAUCUGACGUCUUCUCUUUUGGAGUUGUCCUUCUGGAGCUUAUUACUGGACGGAAACCUGUGGAUGCAUCUCAACCCGUGGGUGAUGAGAGUCUAGUUGAAUGGGCUCGACCUUUGCUUAGUCAUGCCCUUGAGAAUGAGGAGUUUGAAGGUUUGACAGAUCCAAGGCUUGAGAAAAACUAUGUAGAAAGUGAAAUGUUUCGUAUGCUAGAGGCUGCUGCAGCUUGUGUCCGUCAUUCAGCUGCAAAGAGACCACGAAUGGGACAGGUUGUUAGAGCUUUUGAUAGUAUGGGUACCUCGGAUCUGUCCAAUGGAAUGAGGGUGGGUGAAAGUGAAGUAUUUAAUUCUGCACAACAAUCUGAAGAAAUUAGAUGGUUUCAGAGGAUGGCAUUUGGUAGUCAAGACUACAGUACAGACUUUUUUAGCCAAGGUGGCUAGAAUAGUUAAGUGAACAUGGCAAAUAUUGGGAGAGAUGAAUGCAUAUUGAACCAGGAAGUUCUGCAGAGGCAAGCCAGGGUCCUGUUGAUGUCGAUGUGAACGUGGAGCGAUGACUUAGGUAGUGGUACAAAUUGGGCUCAGAUCCAGAACCUGACGGAGCAGGACUCUGCUUCCUCCUCAAGGAGAAGGAAUAAUGUAAAAUGCAGCCGGUAACCCAUUCCUAUUCUAGGAGUAGAUCUCUGUUUUCUACCAAGGACUCGUCUUCUUCUUCUUCUUCAAAUACCUCAAGUGCUCACCUGCCCUCUGUUCUGUUCCAAGACUCUUGCUUUCUCUUAAGAAGUAAUAAUGCAGAUAUCAGAAGGACAGGCAGUUCCAUUCCAAUUCUAGGACUACAUCCAAGAAAGAUCGCUUGUACUUUUGACCAUGACCAGGACAUAUGGAACAUUUAAUUCGAGAAAUUAUCCAAAAUUAAAAACAAAAAAAUGCACAAAGAAGAUUAGAGGAUGAAUUAGGCAGAUUUGGAUAGUUGUGUUGUUUCUAUGCUUCUGACAGAUAAGAAACAGCCUGUAAAUGUCUUUAGUAAAAUGUAGCAUGAUCAAUAAUUUAAGGGGAAAAUGGUUAAGAGUUGAAUAUUUUCAUUU